rnacentral:rRNA from 1 species
GACGAACGCUGGCGGCGUGCUUAACACAUGCAAGUCGAACGGAAAGGCCCUGCUUUUGUGGGGUGCUCGAGUGGCGAACGGGUGAGUAACACGUGAGUAACCUGCCCUUGACUUUGGGAUAACUUCAGGAAACUGGGGCUAAUACCGGAUAGGAGCUCCUGCUGCAUGGUGGGGGUUGGAAAGUUUCGGCGGUUGGGGAUGGACUCGCGGCUUAUCAGCUUGUUGGUGGGGUAGUGGCUUACCAAGGCUUUGACGGGUAGCCGGCCUGAGAGGGUGACCGGCCACAUUGGGACUGAGAUACGGCCCAGACUCGUACGGGAGGCAGCAGUGGGGAAUAUUGCACAAUGGGCGGAAGCCUGAUGCAGCAACGCUGCGUGCGGGAUGACGGCCUUCGGGUUGUAAACCGCUUUCGCCUGUGACGAAGCGUGAGUGACGGUAAUGGGUAAAGAAGCACCGGCUAACUACGUG